GGUUGACCUCGGAUCAGGUAGGGAUCACACCGCUGA
rnacentral:rRNA from 1 species